CUUUUACAUUAUGAAGUUCGCUAGAGAGUUGAUUUCACAGUCUAGACCAAAAAUCUACUUGAAAAAUAAGUUUACGAAGACGGAACUAUAUUCGGCUCAUGAAAUCAAUGAGAUACAGGAUGAGUGGACUGAAUCAAUUAUGGCGUAUCUCAGUUAGAAAAUGAGCAAGUUGGUGCAUCGAUGGGGUUCUACCGUGGCAGAUCUCAGCAUAGCCAAAGUGCUCAAUGAAGGUAGGCACGACAGUAUGUAUCUCUUCUCAUUCUGCUUUUGGUUUUUUUCUUUCUCUCUCUUCUCUGGUUUUGUGUUUGGCUUAAGGUUGAGGAUGUGUGGAGGUCUCAAUCGUGAAGUGGUAUUAUAGAAGUCUUUAAGGAUGGUCUUAGUAAAACCAAGGAGACAUAGGGGGAUCGAAUCUUUUUGACAGCAAUGAAGUCUUCGCUAUGAUGAGCUCAAAAUUCUUGUUCACUAAUGGUGCCUCCUAUGUUUGGGAUCCAAGAAAAUGGUGCUCAUUUGGCUGUGGUGGGUCCUGGGAGGGAAGCUGCAUCUGCAAAGUACUCUGAUUGGGUAAGGUUAGUUCACUAGAUUUUAGGAUUCUCAUCUUUAAAAGCUGAACUUUUUUUUUUCUUUUGGCAAAAGUGACAUGUUUUAUGUUAUAUUUUGGGGCAUGUUAUUGUUUAGUUGAAGGUAAAAGGGUUUGAAAUACAAAGAGAAUUCCCAUUACUAAUGGAAUAGUAGUCUAAUUUGUAAUUAAGGCCUUUAUAUUGCUUCAUAAUUUACUGUCAUAUGGGAACAACAACAAAAGGCUGAAAGAUUUCAUAAUUUGUAAUUUAUUGUCGUAAGAUUUUCUGGUUGUGUUAUGCUUCAAUGAACUUUGAUUUAUAAUAUAAUGGAAGAACUUUAUUAGAGGCUGAAAUCAGACACAAGAUGAUCUGAACCUCAUUUGAUAAACUAAAGUUAAUACAUGAUUUUUCUGCUUCUUUGGCAC